UACGUAGGGGGCUAGCGUUGUCCGGAAUCAUUGGGCGUAAAGCGCGCGUAGGCGGCCCGGUAAGUCCGCUGUGAAAGUCAAAGGCUCAACCUUUGAAUGUCAGCGGAUACUGCCGGGCUAGAGUCCGGAAGAGGCGAGUGGAAUUCCUGGUGUAGCGGUGGAAUGCGCAGAUAUCAGGAGGAACACCGAAGGCGAAGGCAGUGUCCUGGCGAGUGACUGACGCUGAGGUGCGAAAGCCAGGGGAGCGAACGGG
rnacentral:rRNA from 1 species